CCUUGCCGCCUUCCCGUACUCCCCAGGCCAACCAAGGUUAGUCGUGGAACUUCUCACUAUUUUUCUAUUUUUUCUCCUUCGUGCUCUGUUCGUUUAGCUUCCUUGAGGGCCUGCUCGCAAUUUUUUUUUAUUUUUCCAGGAUUUUGUAGCUUUCGUUUGAUCCAAAAUGUCUUUUGAUAUCUCCUCUUCUAGUAGUUCUAAGAGUUCGUCAGCGUCAGCCCCAGUUCCCCAAAGUCCAGGUAUCGUGGCUGAACCCGUAGCCAG
rnacentral:lncRNA from 1 species